GGAAACUUGGAAGUGAGGCCUGAGAAAGGAGGAGAGGAAAGGGGGAGUGACCCCAGAUCCUGAUGGAGAGCCGCCAGAGAGAGGUCCCAACACCAAUGCCUGCCCCAGUCUUGCCCCUUUGCACUGACUUUUCCUCAUUGCUGGGCAGAGAAGCACGUGUCAGUUCCCAGCGUGAGGGAAGUUUUGGUCCAUGACCUGGCUUCUGAGAAAGCUGAGGGAAGCCCCCUCAAGGGCCACAUCGUGACCUACUGAGCUGCCUUUCCACCCUCUAGCUCUGCAGCCCCAGGCUCCUGGCCUUGGCUCUGCCAGGCAGUCAGCCCUCUGCUGAGAGGAGGGCCAGAGCCAGUCCUUAGGAAGGAGCCAGCCUCCUUCACUCCAUGGGGCUGACCUGCCCUCCACGCUGUCAGGCACUCACACCCAGGAGCUGAGAGGCUUCAACGCCCAAAAUGGCACCCAUCCUGCAGUCCCAGGUUUUCUUCUGUUGUAGGAACCCAGGUCCAGGGCCUCUGCCAAGGAGUUCUAUCCGCAAAGAAUAGACUGACAUUUUAGCCACUCUCAGGAGCCUUCUUUCCAGCACCCCACCCCCACCGCUGCCUCCAUUCCUUCUGUCAUGAACCUCUGGACUCUGAGACAAGAAAUACCCUACCAUGUACUGGAAGAAGGGGCUGUGUCACCACCCCUCCCACUCUAGCCCUGUCACCCAGUGCCCCUCCUGCUUCCCACCUCCCAGCCCUGCCACUCCUGGCUACUUCCUGGGAAGACUUAAAGAUCGUCACAGACACCAACACACAUCUCGCCCCACAGGCCCGGUUCCCUCACCUACUCCCCACCUCUCUCCCCUGCUUUCAGAGGCCCUUGUCACUCCAUUACUCAUCUGUCAUCUCUCCAGUGAUGGAAGAUCCUUGGCUUCCCAGCUUCUGGGGAGAUCUGUCAGCUGGGUACACCCCCAAGUAGCUCAUUCAGAGCCACACAGCACCUGUGGUAUGGAAGACCAGGCGUAGGGCCCUAGUGCUCCUCUGAGGCAUCUGCCAGUGCUGAGGUGGGCACAGACCAAUUGAGUCCUGCUCUUGAGCCCACUCACAAAGGGAAGAGCACAGCCCCACGGUGGAUUCAACUUCUGACAGAUUCUGUCAGGGAGGGCUCCGUUGAGCACAUUGUUGCUCACGGGGGCCUAUACACAUGCUGACGAGCGUGAUGGGCUGUGUGUUUCCAUCCAGAGGUGCCACAAAGUCAUGGGAAACACAGGCACCCACCCGGUGUCACAGGCCUUGGUCCCCGCCUUCACACAGCCUGACUCAUCCUUCUAUCCCCAGGGCCAGCACAGAGUGCCUGAUGCUAUAGGCUCGCAGAAAGAGGAACACGCCCAGCAAGAGCAGUCUUCCGGGAGCUAACUGGCCCUGUAAAGAACUUCUUCAAGUCAUAGGAGCGAAGUCCUCUGGAGAAAACCAGCAAAUAAGAAGGAAAUGGCUGACAUUUGCCUCAUGAUGUAGAAGAACACAGCCUUUUCCUCAGGAAAGAGUAUGCCUGGGCUUAGUGAAUUUACAAAUAAAGCAAAGAGCAAACUGGAUAUUCAGCCCCUGGCCUCUCCACCUCACCUCAGGCUCAAACCAGAGACAGCAGCUUGGCGACAGGAGCAGCCGGGCCAGGCCGAGUUCUUCCGCUUGUGGAACGGGGACACUGCUGCAUGAUGCCCCACGCCUGUCUUUCCACCAGGGAAGACAUGAGGACAGUCUGAAGGCUCGGUUCCUGAACGUCAUCCUGGUUUCCCCUGUUGCCUCAGCCACCAUCAAGAGCCCCUUCCAAAAAAAAAGCACCUUCCCAGCAACAGCCUUUCUAACUUCUGGCUUCUCUGCGCACUGUCAGAUCAAGUUGUUCUCACAUUAAAGGUUCAGGAAGAACUGUGAUGCCCCAGAGGGAGUGAUGCUUGGGGACUCCUGGGACGAGGAGGCAGGGCUGGGGCAGGGAAGGUGUUCAGUACACCUGACUUUCUGACACUUCAGAAAAAAGGUGAAAACAGAAACUUGAGCUGUUCAGCUCAAAUAAGACCUAAGGAAACAGCAGCAUCAUUACUCUCCGUUAUUAGUACCACCACCCUCCAUUUUAUUAGAGGGAGCUUUCUCUAAUGCCUGGUAAUUGCCAUGAAAGCCACACUUGUGAUAUCUAAACCUGAUCAGAAAGCUGUGGAAGGUGCCCAAGAUGCCAUUAAAGGGCAGAAGGGAGAAUUGACACAGUAGUUUGAAGUCAGGUGAUCGGAGACACGAUGUUUUAUGACUAAUCUUCUCAGAGUUCAGAUUGUUCAAUAAACUCAUUACUCAUAUUUUUUUUGAAAAAUCCAUCAAAUCUGAGUCUGCUUUGCCUU